GACGAACCGUGCGUACGUUAUUCGGAAUCACUGGGCUUAAAGCGCGUGUAGGCGGAUGGGGACGUCGGUCGCUGAAAUCCCCCGGCUCAACCGGGGAACGGGCGCCGAAACGCCCCGUCUCGAGGGACGUAGGGGGACCUGGAACUUCCGGUGGAGCGGUGAAAUGCGUUGAGAUCGGAAGGAACGCCCGUGGCGAAAGCGAGGUCCUGGACGUCUUCUGACGCUGAGACGCGAAAGCUAGGGGAGCGAACGGG
rnacentral:rRNA from 1 species